CAUGGCUGAGGCGGGAUGAGAGGCCCAGGCCCCCUAGCUCCUGCUCCCUGUAGCAGUCCCCCUCACACAAGCACCCAGUCUGCCCCUAGAUGAAGGCAGAGGUGACUGCCAACAGCCACCAACAGGCGACACUCAGGCCAGCACACAAGCUGUGGGUCACUGCUGUGUUCCUCAUCUCUGCCUGUGCAGACUCAGCCCUGGCCUUUGGGUUCUCUUGCAGAUGAAGAAGUCGAGAUGACGCGGAUGGCGGUCCAGUUUGAGCUGGAGGACCUGAACCUGCGGCCUGACCCAGAGCCACUUCUCACCGAGAUGAUUCAUGAAGUAAAAUGUCAAACUCGAGAAUGCCCCCGCAUCUCGAACAGUGGUCCUCGGGACACCAGGGGUGGUGGGGAGGGUGCCUCCGUGAUGUUGUCCUUGCAGGUUAUGGAUAUAUACAGAACAUUUUUUUGUUUUUUGAGAUGAGGUUUCUCCACAUUGCCUACACUGGUCUUGCACUCCUGGGCUCAGCUCAGGUGAUCCUCCUGCCUCUGCCUCCCAAGUAGCUGGGAUUACAGGCGUGAGUCACCGCACUCAGCUUAGAACAUUCUUGAUUUCUGAGUCUGCUGUUUAUACAAUGUUCAUAUUUUCCAGUUUUUAUAGUAACUAGGUCUUUACUACUAAACACAAUUAAUCUUAGGCUUUUUGUGAAUUUGUAUUCUGGAGAGGCAGAUUUUACUCUUUUUAUAAAUACGCACACAGCUGCUAUUGCCAGACUGCAAGUAAAAUAUCAGCUUGCGUCGGAUUUUCCCAGGGCUGGCUGCAGAUGGGCGCUGGUGCUGCUUGUUGGAGGAAGCCUGGUCAUGCUGUCUUCAGUCACCUGUGUCUGUGGCUCUUCCCCAUUAGGCGGCUUACAGGGAGAACACAGUUGGCCUCCACCGUUUCUGCCCCACAGAAAACAUAGCAAAGAUCAACGGAGAGGUGCUGCAUUCGUACCUGAGGAACUACUACACUCCCGACCGCAUGGUGCUGGCUGGCGUGGGCGUGGAGCACGAGCAUCUGGUGGACUGUGCCCGGAAGUACCUCCUGGGGGUCCAGCCGGCCUGGGGGAGCGCAGAGGCCGUGGAUAUUGACAGAUCUGUGGCCCAGUACACUGGGGGGAUUGCCAAGCUAGAAAGAGACAUGUCCAAUGUCAGCCUGGGCCCGACCCCCAUCCCCGAGCUCACGCACAUCAUGGUUGGACUGGAGAGCUGCUCCUUCCUGGAGGAGGACUUCAUCCCCUUUGCAGUGUUGAACAUGAUGAUGGGCGGAGGUGGCUCCUUCUCGGCUGGUGGGCCCGGCAAGGGCAUGUUCUCCAGGCUCUACCUCAACGUGCUCAACAGGCACCACUGGAUGUAUAACGCGACCUCCUACCACCACAGCUACGAGGACACUGGCCUCCUUUGCAUCCAUGCCAGUGCCGACCCAAGACAGGUUCGAGAAAUGGUAGAAAUCAUCACAAAGGAGUUUAUUUUAAUGGGCGGAACCGUGGACGCGGUAAGUGCAGAGUGGCGCCAUUUCCAGGCGUACCUGUGGUGUCUGACAGGAGACAGCCACGUUGUAGGAGUGGCCACCUGUGGGCCUGGUCCCUGAGCCUCAGGGCCAAGGUCCCGGCAGGGCAGGGCAGGGCGGCCAAGGAGGCACAGCCUGGGGCUGAGCUGCUCCACCUGGGAGCCCGCUGAGGCUGUUCUUCCCUGGUCCAAACCUCGAAAACAGAAAAACAGACCACCGCCCUCCCCCAGUGCUCGGUCCACUACUUCUUUCUCUGAGCCACUGGGUGAGUCGUGGGACUGACCAUGUGACUCUCUCAGCUUUGCUGGCGAAACGCUGCAGGAGUUUUUGUGUCCUUCUCAGCCGCCUCUGUGAGGUGACUGGGGUGAGGCAGCUUGCACAGGUGGGCUGCAGCGUGGGGUGUCUCGAGCCUUUCCCUGGCUCCAUUCUAUGUUUGAAACUGUAUUUCUUUACCAAUUUUUUUUUGUUCUUUUUAAGAUGGAGUCUUACUGUCUCACUCAGGCUGGAGUGCAGUAGCUCAAAUUCGGCUCACUGCAACCUCCACCUCCCGGGUUCAAGCGAUUCUCCUGCUUCAGCCUCCCAAGUAGCUGGGAUUACAGGCAUGCGCCACCACGCCUGGCUAAUUUUUGUAUUUUUAGUAGAGACGGGGUUUCGCCAUGUUGGCCAGGCGGGUCUCAAACUCCUGACCUCAGGUGAUCCGUUGCCUUGGCCUCCCAAGGUGCUGGGAUUACAAUUACAGGUGUGAGCCACCAUGCGUCCCUGUUUACUAAUUUUUUAAGCUUAGUUUUUGAUGCUUUACACAUUUGGGAACCUCGUUACUUCCUGGACCAGAAGUGGUACAAAUAAGCAAGUUUUAUACACACACUCUUUUUUUUUUUAUUUAGACAGAGUCUUGCUCAGGCUGGAGUGCAGUGGCAUGAUCUCAGCUCACUGCAUCCUUCCACCUCCCGGGUUCAGGUGAUUCUCCUACCUUAGCCUCCUGAGUAGCUGGGAUUACAGGCAUGUGUCACCACCCUAGCUAAUUUUUUUGUUUUUUGUUUUCUGUGUUUUUUUUUUUUUUUGAGACGGAGUCCUGCUCUGUUGCCCAGGCUGGAGUGCGGUGGCAUGAUCUCAACUCAUUGCAACCUCCGCCUCCCGGGUUCAGGUGAUUCUCCUACCUCAGCCUCCUGAGUAGCUGGGAUUACAGGCACCCACCACCACACCUGGCUAAUUUUUUGUAUUUUUAGUAGAGAUGGGGUUUCACCAUGUUGGCCAGGCUGGUCUUGAACUCCUGACCUCAAGUCAUCUGCCCAUCUCGGCCUUCCAAAGUGCUGGGAUUACAGGUGUGAGCCAUUGCACGCAGCCCCAUGGCUAAUUUUUGUAUUUUUAGUAGAGACAGGGUUUCACCAUGUUGGCCAGACUGGUCUUGAACUGCUGACCUCAGGUGAUCCACCUGCCUUGGCCUCCCAAAGUGCUGGGAUUACUUUGGGAUCCCGGUGUGAGCCACCGUGCCCGGCCAGGAAAAAAAGCAUUCAAGAAAUAAAGUUGUGGUUAAAUUAAUACGCUUCAGUUCCACUAGUGCACUGCUAGAAAAACAGUCCUCCACUAACGUGAAGUCAACUUGAAAUAAAUAUGAAGUAUUUAGGUAUUUGCCUAAAGUUGCAAAAAGACCUAAGAAUUGUUUUACUUAAAAGAAAUGGUAUAGAGGCCAGGUCCGGUGGCUUAUGCCUGUUUUCCCAGCACUUUGGGAGACCAAGGUGGGAGGAUCACUUGAGCCCAGGAGUUCAAGACUGACCUGGGCAACAUAGCAAGACCCUGUGUCUAUUUAAG
rnacentral:sRNA from 1 species